rnacentral:lncRNA from 1 species
AUGACUGCGUCAGUGGCAGAGCUCAAUCCAAGUUCCUGUGUCUGGUUUCUGUCUGGAGCCCCAAGGUGCCGGGGCCUGGCCCCUGCCCAGCAGGUCGAGCCUGUGCCCUGGAGGCAGAGCCAACCCUCUCUGCCAACAGGGGGGCUCUUGGCCUCUGCGUCCCUUGGUUUCCUCUUCCUGUGCUCUGCCCGUUUAUGGGGACACUUUGCUGCUGUGAGUUCCAGUAGGAGAAGCCCCUUGGCUCCCUGCCUGACCCCGAGGCACUUAGGUUCGACCUUCCCCUUCACACUGUCCACAUCACAGCCGAGGGUUCGGGUGAAUUUAACCAGAGGAAUUCCUUGAACACCUUGAAACAAAGGCCUGAAGAUCCUGGGACAAUUUCACGCUAAAAUCCUCCUUCAUUCAACAAGUAAUGCUGAUGUUUCAGGCUCUGCGCCCCUGAGGCUCCAGCCCAGGUUGAUGCUGGUAUAGGAACCGAGGUGCAGAGGCAGGUGCCGCCUUGCCUGUCCUGCCGCCUUUAGCUGCCACCUCCCUCAUCCUGGGGGCCACAGCCCCGCCCCAGGAUGCACCCUCUGCAGUCUCAUCCUCUGUCCCCUUCAGCCGGCCCCGCUUGCCCUCCGGUCCCAGUGGCUUUUCCUCGUCCUCUGUCCUCCGUGCUCGCCAGUGAGGUGCCUCUUCCCUUGCGCUGAAUCUACCGCUGCGCCCCAACAGCUUCCUGAGGCCCUCAGGUGAGACUCCGUGUUCACUAUUCAUUUAUUAAUUAGUCAAUUCACCAACCACCUGCACCUCGUACCCCGCCUAGAGACCACACGGCACUGGGGCAGAGCCUAGACUCUGCAGUGAGACCGAGUUUAAAUCCUGGCUCUGCUCUGCUACCGACUAGCUGGGAAACCUCGGGAGUGUUGUUUUCUUCUAUGCGCCCCUGUCUCCUUCUCUAGAAAAUUCGGGAUAGUCAUAUUACCUACUUUACAGGGUUCCGAGGGGGCUCAGGGGUUAGGAGGGUGCUUUACGCACAGGCAUCCUCACCGCUAGCCCCGCUGCUCGUCGUGCUCAGUAUCAGCUAAUGGACCGUCGCUGCUGAGGUCCAGCACUGGGCCUGGAGCCGGCCUGGGUGGUGAACGGUGCAGAUGUCCAGCAAAUACAGGGA